UUGAACUGAAGAGUUUGAUCAUGGCUCAGAUUGAACGCUGGCGGCAGGCCUAACACAUGCAAGUCGAGCGGCAGCACGGGUACUUGUACCUGGUGGCGAGCGGCGGACGGGUGAGUAAUGCCUAGGAAUCUGCCUGGUAGUGGGGGAUAACGCUCGGAAACGGACGCUAAUACCGCAUACGUCCUACGGGAGAAAGCAGGGGACCUUCGGGCCUUGCGCUAUCAGAUGAGCCUAGGUCGGAU
rnacentral:rRNA from 1 species